UCUUCAGCACAAAUAAGGUUCAACCACAAUUCUAGAAAUUCAAAAAGAGGGUCACAGGAUCUUUUGGGCGGCAAGGAUUUUGAACUUCAUGAGUGUGAGAAAGAUAAUUCACAUGAACCUUUAAGUAUGUUAGAGUCAGAGCUCAAAGUUUUGAGCGCAGAGAGUGUUCAUGUUCUGAAAUUAUGCGGAGGAAACCAAUUAAUUGAGGAGUUCUAUUCUCAAACAUAUUGUGAUGAUGUUGAAAAGCUAGACCACCACCUCAAAGGCUACAAUCCCUCUGCAUAUAGUUACAAAGAUAGCCAAUUGCACAUGCUCCAAAAUGUUGUAGGCGAUGGCUCCCAGAG
rnacentral:misc_RNA from 1 species